rnacentral:rRNA from 1 species
GACGAACGCUGGCGGCGUGCCUAACACAUGCAAGUCGAACGAAGCAUAGCAAUAUGCUUAGUGGCGGACGGGUGAGUAACGCGUGAACAAUCUGCCCUGUACAAAGGAAUAGCCUCGGGAAACCGGGAUUAAAACCGUAUGACACUUUAGUAUCGCAUGAUAAGAAGUCAAAUCGAAUAGAGGUAUGGGAUGAGUUCGCGUCUGAUUAGCUGGUUGGCGGGGUAACGCCCACAAGGCGACGAUCAGUAGCCGGCCUGAGAGGGUGAACGGCCACACUGGAACUGAGACACGGUCCAGACUCCUACGGGAGGCAGCAGUGGGGAAUAUUGGGCAAUGGGCGGAAGCCUGACCCAGCAACGCCGCGUGAGGGAAGAAGGUUUUCGGAUUGUAAACCUCUGUUCUUGGGGAAGAGGAGGAGACGGUACCCAAGGAGGAAGCCCCGGCUAACUACGUG